GACGCGCCGCACGCUCCGUAGCACUGGCAUUAGAAAGGAACGCUGUGAGCCGUACAGCAUUGCCGCAGAGAAGGACACACACACACACACACACACACACACACACACACACACACACACACACAUACACGCAGACGGUUACAGAGCAGGUGAAACUUGAGUGUGACGGUGCAGAGGGACGCCAACGUCGCUUCGCCUUACCGAUCUCUACCUCCUUCGCACCCUGCAAGCUCCACCGGGGGGGGGCAGCGGUAGUGCGGCAGCCUUCCUCCUACGACGCACUAGUCUGCAUCGCAGCUGCUCGCGCCGGGUGUAAAGAACAGCCGCCAUGUUCGCAGCGCUUUCAUGGCUGCUAGACCUCGACCAAGGUCACGCGGCGUCCUCGUCGUCCACGUCCUCAAGGAGCAGUUACAGCGGCUCGUUGGACGCCGACGCAGGCGUCGAGACCAACCCGGCUGCCACCCAUACCACCUUUUCCGACGCCGGUGGGCAACUUCUGGCGGAGUUGCAUAUUUCCUCUGUCGCGGCGGCGACACUUUCCCGGAGCGCCAGCGAGGCUGCCGCUCCUCCCCGCGGUGCCGUCUACUCCUCACCGCGGCAUCUGGAGGAGUCUUUCGCGGACCUCGAGGCGCGCAAGGCCGAGUUUUUUGCCCCGUCCCCGUGCCAGGAUCCAGCGGAGGAUGCGGGUCUCGGGAUGAGCUCCCUUGCAGAGCGAGGCGGAACGCCCGCGUCGCCGUUGUCGCGCAAGAUUGUUCCAUUGGGGAGCCUGCGCGCCUACGCCAAUGAGACUGUGAGCCUGUCGCCGAUCGCGUCUCCAGCCCCUGCGCCGGUGCCUGCGACAGUCGCCACAUCGCUCGCGCCGGCAUACGAGGAUGAGCGGCUGCUUUUGGUGAGGGAGGGUGUGAUGCUCUCGGCUCGCUUGUCCUCCCCCAGCCGCGGCGGACCGCGCGCGGCAGCCGAGCGAGCCGAGAUUGCCAACAACAACGGCUCUGCAACGGGCGCGAUUGGCGCGGGGGUGGCGGCGCCCACACAGCGAUCUCGCAUCCUUGAGUGGGACGGGGAAGUGCACGUGCGACCGCAGGCGAGUCCGCCUCCCGGCCUUAGUGCCAACCGAGGCGAACGCGCUGCUCGCAGCGGCACCGAGGCGCAGGAGAGGCGCAAGCAGAUUGCUGAUGCCGAGCCUAGGGAAGCGCGGCUCGUACGCGGUGCAAUGAAGGCGGCGUUCAUGGUUUCUACGACCCCGCACACACCGACUCUCGGCACCGCCGCUCUCGCACCAGCUGCUGUGCCUCUGCACCCAUCGAACCCUUUUCUCGGCACCACCGUCGGCGCCCGCGACGCGGCGGUGCGUGGCUACUCCAUCGAGUGCAUACACGACACUCCUGCGCAGGAGGACUCGGGUGUGGUGUACCUCGCCAACGGGUUGGUGACCGUGACGUCAAUAGAUGUCGAUGAUCUGCACCGGCAGGCGGAACAGUCUUCGCCACCGCUAACGCAUCCGCUAGCAGCACAGUUGACGACGCCGUCUCGCACG
rnacentral:misc_RNA from 1 species